rnacentral:lncRNA from 1 species
UCUGUGUGAUACAUAGCUGUGCACCUUAUUUUUUCUGGGGCUUUUGACUUAUUUCAGGUGUCUGAUUAAUCUUCGCAGAAGUGAUGAUGAUGACGAUGAGCAUGAUGAUGACAAUGGCCUUGAUGGUGAUGCUGCCAAUCUUUUCUGCAUAGCCCUCUGAGAGAUCAGACUGUUGUCUAAGGUACAUGGCACAACAACAUGCUUGAAAUGCUUCAUGGUUUGCACGGCUCCUGACUACCACAGCUGCCUGUGUCCUUUGACAGCCCAGCACAAUGAAACAACAGUGAAGCAUCUGUUCCCGUGAACUUGUAAAUACCAAGUUGCAGGACAAAUGUUGACAGGCAGGACAGAAGGUGAAAUGGAAACAAAAGCGUCUUGCUGAGGGAUCCUGCGGUGCCUGUCCAGCCUUUCCAGCCGCCGAAUCACUGGACAUGCUCGAGGACACUCACUUAUUAGGCUCUCCAGGACCCUCUGAGUGAGGACAAAGAAACAUGCGCUUCAUUUUACAUUAGAAAAAUGGUGAGAGUUCAACUGAUCCAUAAGGUCUUAUAAAAAACAAUAAAUAAAGGUGCUGUGAAAGCAGCAUACAAGCCGGAGAGCCUACUGGAAGCAAGAGGGGAAAAUCCAGUCAGGUAUGGGGACUGCAGGGAGGAUGCCCGGCGGCGGAGACUGGAUUCAGGAUUUGAUGCCUGAACUGAACCUUCUGUUAAGAGUAUUUUACCAAUAUAUACAGAAAAGGGGGAGGAAGAGGAUCAAAACUCUUACAAUUUCAUAUGCCAUAUUUCUGCUCUAGUUUCUAACUUCCUAUCCUCUUAAUCUUAAUUACUCUAAUCCAUAACCACGUAUUGCAUCAGCCUUGCCAGAAUCUCUUCCCACAACUUCACGUGCAUAUCGUCCUCUUUGGCAAAUACACAGCAUGUCAUUUUCUGGAUGAGUA